UCCCUGCUGGCCCAGAGAGUAAAGCAUCUGCCUGCAAGGCAGAAGACCUGGGUUUGAUCCCUGGGUCAGGAA
rfam:Ovis aries breed Texel chromosome 1, whole genome shotgun sequence.